CAGCCGCCGCGGGAAAACGUAGGUGGCAAGCGUUGUCCGGAAUUAUUGGGCGUAAAGGGCUCGCAGGCGGUUUCUUAAGUCUGAUGUGAAAGCCCCCGGCUCAACCGGGGAGGGUCAUUGGAAACUGGGAAACUUGAGUGCAGAAGAGGAGAGUGGAAUUCCACGUGUAGCGGUGAAAUGCGUAGAGAUGUGGAGGAACACCAGUGGCGAAGGCGACUCUCUGGUCUGUAACUGACGCUGAGGAGCGAAAGCGUGGGGAGCGAACAGGAUUAGAUACCCCCGUAGUCCCUGUCUCUUAUAC
rnacentral:rRNA from 1 species